UACGUAGGGACCGAGCGUUGUCCGGAUUCAUUGGGCGUAAAGAGCUCGUAGGCGGCCACUCAAGUCGAAUGUGAAACCUCGAGGCUUAACCUCGAGCCUGCAUUCGAUACUGGGCGGCUAGAGUCUGGUAGGGGGAUCUGGAAUUCCUGGUGUAGCGGUGGAAUGCGCAGAUAUCAGGAGGAACACCGGUGGCGAAGGCGGAUCUCUGGGCCUUACCUGACGCUCAGGCGCGAAAGCUAGGGGAGCGAACAGG
rnacentral:rRNA from 1 species